rnacentral:rRNA from 1 species
CCCUUAGAUGUUCUGGGCCGCACGCGUGCUACACUGAUGAGUGCAACGAGUUUGCUCCUAGGCCGAAAGGUCACUGGGUAAUCUUUUUAACGCUCGUCGUGAUGGGGAUAGACCUUUGCAAUUGUGGGUCUUUAACGAGGAAUCCCUAGUAAGUGCAGUUCAUCAGACUGCGCUGAUUACGUCCCUGCCCUUUGUACACACCGCCCGUCGCUCCUACCGAUUGAAUGGUCCGGUGAAAUGUCGGGAUUUGCAUUUGGAGACUGGCAACAGAACUCCGGUGCGAAGAACUUCAGUGAACCUUAUCAUUUAGAGGAAGGAGAAGUCGUAACA